GGGUUGUGAGGUUAAGCGACUAAGCGUACACGGUGGAUGCCCUGGCAGUCAGAGGCGAUGAAGGACGUGCUAAUCUGCGAUAAGCGUCGGUAAGGUGAUAUGAACCGUUAUAACCGGCGAUUUCCGAAUGGGGAAACCCAGUGUGAUUCGUCACACUAUCAUUAACUGAAUCCAUAGGUUAAUGAGGCGAACCGGGGGAACUGAAACAUCUAAGUACCCCGAGGAAAAGAAAUCAACCGAGAUUCCCCCAGUAGCGGCGAGCGAACGGGGAGCAGCCCAGAGCCUGAAUCAGUGUGUGUGUUAGUGGAAGCGUCUGGAAAGGCGCGCGAUACAGGGUGACAGCCCCGUACACAAAAAUGCACAUGCUGUGAGCUCGAUGAGUAGGGCGGGACACGUGGUAUCCUGUCUGAAUAUGGGGGGACCAUCCUCCAAGGCUAAAUACUCCUGACUGACCGAUAGUGAACCAGUACCGUGAGGGAAAGGCGAAAAGAACCCCGGCGAGGGGAGUGAAAAAGAACCUGAAACCGUGUACGUACAAGCAGUGGGAGCACAGAGCAAUCUGUGUGACUGCGUACCUUUUGUAUAAUGGGUCAGCGACUUAUAUUCUGUAGCAAGGUUAACCGAAUAGGGGAGCCGAAGGGAAACCGAGUCUUAACUGGGCGUUAAGUUGCAGGGUAUAGACCCGAAACCCGGUGAUCUAGCCAUGGGCAGGUUGAAGGUUGGGUAACACUAACUGGAGGACCGAACCGACUAAUGUUGAAAAAUUAGCGGAUGACUUGUGGCUGGGGGUGAAAGGCCAAUCAAACCGGGAGAUAGCUGGUUCUCCCCGAAAGCUAUUUAGGUAGCGCCUCGUGAAUUCAUCUCCGGGGGUAGAGCACUGUUUCGGCAAGGGGGUCAUCCCGACUUACCAACCCGAUGCAAACUGCGAAUACCGGAGAAUGUUAUCACGGGAGACACACGGCGGGUGCUAACGUCCGUCGUGAAGAGGGAAACAACCCAGACCGCCAGCUAAGGUCCCAAAGUCAUGGUUAAGUGGGAAACGAUGUGGGAAGGCCCAGACAGCCAGGAUGUUGGCUUAGAAGCAGCCAUCAUUUAAAGAAAGCGUAAUAGCUCACUGGUCGAGUCGGCCUGCGCGGAAGAUGUAACGGGGCUAAACCAUGCACCGAAGCUGCGGCAGCGACGCUUAUGCGUUGUUGGGUAGGGGAGCGUUCUGUAAGCCUGCGAAGGUGUGCUGUGAGGCAUGCUGGAGGUAUCAGAAGUGCGAAUGCUGACAUAAGUAACGAUAAAGCGGGUGAAAAGCCCGCUCGCCGGAAGACCAAGGGUUCCUGUCCAACGUUAAUCGGGGCAGGGUGAGUCGACCCCUAAGGCGAGGCCGAAAGGCGUAGUCGAUGGGAAACAGGUUAAUAUUCCUGUACUUGGUGUUACUGCGAAGGGGGGACGGAGAAGGCUAUGUUGGCCGGGCGACGGUUGUCCCGGUUUAAGCGUGUAGGCUGGUUUUCCAGGCAAAUCCGGAAAAUCAAGGCUGAGGCGUGAUGACGAGGCACUACGGUGCUGAAGCAACAAAUGCCCUGCUUCCAGGAAAAGCCUCUAAGCAUCAGGUAACAUCAAAUCGUACCCCAAACCGACACAGGUGGUCAGGUAGAGAAUACCAAGGCGCUUGAGAGAACUCGGGUGAAGGAACUAGGCAAAAUGGUGCCGUAACUUCGGGAGAAGGCACGCUGAUAUGUAGGUGAAGUCCCUCGCGGAUGGAGCUGAAAUCAGUCGAAGAUACCAGCUGGCUGCAACUGUUUAUUAAAAACACAGCACUGUGCAAACACGAAAGUGGACGUAUACGGUGUGACGCCUGCCCGGUGCCGGAAGGUUAAUUGAUGGGGUCAGCGCAAGCGAAGCUCUUGAUCGAAGCCCCGGUAAACGGCGGCCGUAACUAUAACGGUCCUAAGGUAGCGAAAUUCCUUGUCGGGUAAGUUCCGACCUGCACGAAUGGCGUAAUGAUGGCCAGGCUGUCUCCACCCGAGACUCAGUGAAAUUGAACUCGCUGUGAAGAUGCAGUGUACCCGCGGCAAGACGGAAAGACCCCGUGAACCUUUACUAUAGCUUGACACUGAACAUUGAGCCUUGAUGUGUAGGAUAGGUGGGAGGCUUUGAAGUGUGGACGCCAGUCUGCAUGGAGCCGACCUUGAAAUACCACCCUUUAAUGUUUGAUGUUCUAACGUUGACCCGUGAUCCGGGUUGCGGACAGUGUCUGGUGGGUAGUUUGACUGGGGCGGUCUCCUCCUAAAGAGUAACGGAGGAGCACGAAGGUUGGCUAAUCCUGGUCGGACAUCAGGAGGUUAGUGCAAUGGCAUAAGCCAGCUUGACUGCGAGCGUGACGGCGCGAGCAGGUGCGAAAGCAGGUCAUAGUGAUCCGGUGGUUCUGAAUGGAAGGGCCAUCGCUCAACGGAUAAAAGGUACUCCGGGGAUAACAGGCUGAUACCGCCCAAGAGUUCAUAUCGACGGCGGUGUUUGGCACCUCGAUGUCGGCUCAUCACAUCCUGGGGCUGAAGUAGGUCCCAAGGGUAUGGCUGUUCGCCAUUUAAAGUGGUACGCGAGCUGGGUUUAGAACGUCGUGAGACAGUUCGGUCCCUAUCUGCCGUGGGCGCUGGAGAAUUGAGGGGGGCUGCUCCUAGUACGAGAGGACCGGAGUGGACGCAUCACUGGUGUUCGGGUUGUCAUGCCAAUGGCACUGCCCGGUAGCUAAAUGCGGAAGAGAUAAGUGCUGAAAGCAUCUAAGCACGAAACUUGCCCCGAGAUGAGUUCUCCCUGACUCCUUGAGAGUCCUGAAGGAACGUUGAAGACGACGACGUUGAUAGGCCGGGUGUGUAAGCGCAGCGAUGCGUUGAGCUAACCGGUACUAAUGAACCGUGAGGCUUAACCUUACAACGCCGAAGGUGUUU
rnacentral:rRNA from 1 species